rnacentral:rRNA from 1 species
GAUGAACGCUGGCGGCGUGCCUAAUACAUGCAAGUCGAGCGAACAGACGAGGAGCUUGCUCCUCUGACGUUAGCGGCGGACGGGUGAGUAACACGUGGAUAACCUACCUAUAAGACUGGGAUAACUUCGGGAAACCGGAGCUAAUACCGGAUAAUAUAUUGAACCGCAUGGUUCAAUAGUGAAAGACGGUUUUGCUGUCACUUAUAGAUGGAUCCGCGCCGCAUUAGCUAGUUGGUAAGGUAACGGCUUACCAAGGCAACGAUGCGUAGCCGACCUGAGAGGGUGAUCGGCCACACUGGAACUGAGACACGGUCCAGACUCCUACGGGAGGCAGCAGUAGGGAAUCUUCCGCAAUGCACGAAAGCUUGACGGAGCAACGCCGCGUGAGUGAUGAAGGUCUUCGGAUCGUAAAGCUCUGUUAGUAGGAAAGAACAAAUGUGUAAGUAACUAUGCACGUCUUGACGGUACCUAAUCAGAAAGCCACGGCUAACUACGUG